AACGAACGCUGGCGGCAGGCCUAACACAUGCAAGUCGAGCGGACCCUUCGGGGUUAGCGGCGGACGGGUGAGUAACGCGUGGGAAUAUGCCCUUCUCUACGGAAUAGUCCUGGGAAACUGGGGGUAAUACCGUAUACGCCCUUUGGGGGAAAGAUUUAUCGGGGAAGGAUUAGCCCGCGUUGGAUUAGGUAGUUGGUGGGGUAAUGGCCUACCAAGCCGACGAACCAUAGCUGGUUUGAGAGGAUGAUCAGCCACACUGGGACUGAGACACGGCCCAGACUCCUACGGGAGGCAGCAGUGGGGAAUCUUAGACAGUGGGGGCAACCCUGAUCUAGCCAUGCCGCGUGAGUGAUGAAGGCCUUAGGGUUGUAAAGCUCUUUCAGCUGGGAAGAUAAUGACGGUACCAGCAGAAGAAGCCCCGGCUAACUCCGUG
rnacentral:rRNA from 1 species